GGAUAUAGCUCAGUUGGUAAAGUGCUUGCCUAGUAUGCACAAGGUCCUGGGUUCAAUCCCCAGAACCA
rnacentral:tRNA from 1 species